GUCGCGAUGGCCGAGUGGUUAAGGCGAUGGACUUGAAAUCCAUUGGGGAUUCCCCGCGCAGG
rnacentral:tRNA from 1 species